rnacentral:misc_RNA from 1 species
CGAUAGGAAGAUCAGGUCAUGUUUCUAAAAAUUCUGCAGACUGAAUUGUCCUUGUAAGCUCCUUCAAAUUAGCCAGCACAUGGCGGGGUCCUAAACUCUUUACACCAAUAAAAUUCAAAAGUUGCUCCAAAUCCUUGUUUAACAGAAAAACAGCAUAAGCUGCUCGUGUUGUUUCUUGACCUUCCAAAAAGAGGGGAAAUUCAACUGCCUUCGUAUUCACAUUGGAUGAUGAACUCAAUAAAAGGUCAGAUGAUGUAGGCUCCACAGAAGGUGCGUAGUCAUUAAUAAAAGAUCGAGAACCACCCAAGCGCACAGGAUAACGCAAAGGAACUUCUAAGUAGGAAGAAACGAGUGAAACAG